ACGGCGCACGGGUGAGUAACACGUGGAUGAUCUACCCUAUGGUGGGGAAUAACCUUGGGAAACCGAGGCUAAUACCGCAUAAGUUCGAGAGAAGAAAGCCGCAAGGCGCCAUUGGAGGAGUCCGCGGCCGAUUAGCUAGUUGGUGAGGUAAGAGCUCACCAAGGCGACGAUCGGUAGCCGGCCUGAGAGGGCACACGGCCACACUGGCACUGAAACACGGGCCAG
rnacentral:rRNA from 1 species